GUGCCAGCAGCCGCGGUAAUACCGGCAGCCCGAGUGAUGGCAGAUCUUAUUGGGCCUAAAGCGUCCGUAGCUGGCCGCACAAGUCCGUCGGGAAAUCCGCCCGCUCAACGGGCGGCCGUCCGGCGGAACCUGUGCGGCUUGGGACCGGAAGAUCCAAGGGGUACGUCCGGGGUAGGAGUGAAAUCCCGUAAUCCUGGACGGACCACCGAUGGCGAAAGCACCUUGGAAGGACGGAUCCGACAGUGAGGGACGAAAGCCAGGGUCUCCAACCGGAUUAGAUACCCCAGUAGUCC
rnacentral:rRNA from 1 species